GCCUUCGUGGUGUAGUGGUCAGCACGCUCGACGCAUAACCGAGAGGUCCGUGGUUCGAUUCCCCGCAAAGGCG
rnacentral:tRNA from 1 species